rnacentral:misc_RNA from 1 species
GCCAUGCGACCCCAGGUNAGGCGGGACUACCCGCUGAGUUUAAGCAUAUCAAUAAGCGGAGGAAAAG